rnacentral:rRNA from 1 species
UGAGCAAUCUGCCCUUCUCUUUGGAAUAAGCGUUGGAAACGACGUCUAAUGCCGAAUACGACCUCCUUUCGCAUGAUCGGAGGUGGAAAGCUCCGGCGGAGAAGGAUGGGCUCGCGGCCUAUCAGCUAGUUGGUGUGGGUAACGGCCCACCAAGGCGACGACGGGUAGCCGGCCUGAGAGGGUGACCGGCCACACUGGGACUGAGACACGGCCCAGACUCCUACGGGAGGCAG